rnacentral:rRNA from 1 species
UACGUAGGGUGCGAGCGUUGUCCGGAAUUACUGGGCGUAAAGAGCUCGUAGGUGGUUUGUCGCGUUGUUCGUGAAAACUCACAGCUUAACUGUGGGCGUGCGGGCGAUACGGGCAGACUGGAGUACUGCAGGGGAGACUGGAAUUCCUGGUGUAGCGGUGGAAUGCGCAGAUAUCAGGAGGAACACCGGUGGCGAAGGCGGCGACCUGGGCCAAUAUUGACGCUGAGGUGCGAAAGCGUGGGGAGCAAACAGG